ACAUAGUAGGCAUUCAAUGAAUAAUUUUACAUCAAUAAUGAAUGUUUGUGUAACACAUUAUUAUUGUAGAUAUUUGGCAAAUUUUUUUUUUUUUUACAGGCCCCACUCAGAAAAGAAUGCACCAAACACAUUCGCAUUUAUUUUUUUUUAAGCAAAUGACAAAGACCCAGUUUACCAGCUUUACUUUUUUUUAAACCUAAGCUUAACAUUACAUAUUUAAACAAUUGUCAAAUCUUACUAAGUUGCCAGCGUUCAUGCACAACUAGAAAAACAUCCUUAAUUUAUAUUAAACGAGAAAUGUAUUACCAUUAAUGCAUUAAUAUCUCUCACUACUAAAUACUGAAAAAAUUUGAAAUUAUUUUUGUGGAAGAUUCAUCCUGGCAAUGUUAAUUUCACAGCAGGCUGACUCUACUUGGCUCACAUUUCAAACACAAUGGAAAAGCAGGUCCGUGCUGGUGUUAGUGUACGAAAGAGUCACGGCCACCUUGGAUUAUGUUUAAUAAAAAAGCAAAGUGCAUACAGAGAAUUACAACAAUUUUUAAAGACAAAAAAAACCAAAACCAAAACCAAAACAAAACAAAAAAACCCCAAACAAUGGUCCUAUUAUGUGGUCCCAACAAUAAACUCAAAAGUCUAUGACAAAUAGGGCUCCGAUGAGCUGUGUAUAAAUACUUUAGAUUAGGUACAGUUAUACUGAAAGUUGAGUUCGUUUGAAAUCUUCAAAAAAAAGCGUUCCUGUCAGUCCUCAAUGGUGCCCGUUACAGCUAACAUUUCUGCUACACGCGUGCGUUGUUACUUGUUAUCCAAGCGUAGCAGCUGCUCCUUACCAUUUAUCGUUAAGGACUUUAACUGGCCGUUCUCUUCAACUUCUACUCUUUCUUCACCUUUCUCUACAAUUCUCUUUGUAGUGAUUUUUCUGCCAUUAACCAUUUUAGUAGAAGUGGAUAUAGAUUUGAACUUGCCCAUCCCACUACCACCAAAUGUCGUGGAAGAGAACGAAGUGAGGCCCCCAAAGAAGUCCUCAAAUGGGUCUUCAAAGAAGUCAAAGGAAAACGGGUCCCUUCCACCAAAAAAUUCCCUGAAGACAUCAUCUGGGUUACGGAAUGUGAAGCCAAACUCAAAUGGAGUGUCAAAAUGAAGUCCACCUCCACCUCCACCAUUUAGUCCUUCUUUGCCGUAUCUGUCAUAGAUGUCCCGUUUUUUUGCAUCUGAUAACACCUCAUACGCCUCAGCUAUUUGGCAAAAUUUUUUUGUUUUGUUUUUAUUGACGUUUGAUUUGCCAACAUACAGUAUAACACCCAGUGCUCAUCCCAUCAAGUGCCCUCUUCAGUGCCCAUCACCCAGUUAUCCCAAUCCCCCGCCCACCUCCCCUUCUGCAACCCUUUGUUCUUUUCCCAGAUGGCAAAGUUUUGAAGAUGAAGUGGGAGCUAAAAAUUAAGAAGAUGGGCAUCCAUUAUUUAACAAACUUAUAUUGAGUAAAUACUGCACAUUUGCUAUAUCCACAUACCAAAAAAAAAGCAUAUAUAUAUUUUAUUUUUACUAACUGAAUCAUACUUUAUUCAUAUUGGAAAGUGAUACUGUAAAUCUUUUGUCAAGUGAAAACUCACCUCUGCUUCAGUUUUUUCCCCUUAAGAUCUGUAUUUUUUUUUAAAUUUUUAUUUAUUUAUGAUAGUCACACACACAGAGAGAGGCAGAGACAUAGGCAGAGGGAGAAGCAAGCUCCAUGCACCGGGAGCCCGACGUGGGACUCGAUCCGGGUCUCCAGGAUCGCGCCCUGGGCCAAAGGCAGGCGCCAAACCGCUGCGCCACCCAGGGAUCCCCAAGAUCUGUAUUUUCAAGUAAACAUGGCACACUUAUACCUCUUACUUUCACGAUUUCAGUUAUUUU
rnacentral:lncRNA from 1 species